AGGCGUGUGAGAAUUGCCUUUUUCCUUGAAUAUAAAAUGCACUCCCAUAAUGUAAUCAAACAAAAGAUAUAAAUAGAAUAAGAAAAAUAACAACUCAGCGUAACGGAGUCCGAUUAACGGAGUGAGAAAUCAUCUGGUUUCUCGAGAGUUCUAAGCCAAUGAUAAUCGAAGGAAACGAACGGUGUUGUGUGUGUGUGGUUAAGAAAAGAACAAACUCAUACGAGACACGUGCACCGAAGCUUUUUCCCACGUGCCAAAGAGUUUCGUCUUCGUUCACACAGAACCAAGAUGGGUGGUAACGAAGGUAG